rnacentral:rRNA from 1 species
GAGGAAAAGAAACUAACAAGGAUUCCCCUAGUAACUGCGAGUGAAGCGGGAAGAGCUCAAAUUUAAAAUCUGGCGUGCCUCUGGUCGUCCGAGUUGUAGUCUGGAGAAGCGUCUUCCGUGUUGGACCGUGUACAAGUCUCUUGGAACAGGGCGUCAUAGAGGGUGAGAAUCCCGUCUUUGACACGGACUACCAAUGCUUUGUGAUGCGCUCUCAAAGAGUCGAGUUGUUUGGGAAUGCAGCUCAAAAUGGGUGGUAAAUUCCAUCUAAAGCUAAAUAUAGGCGAGAGACCGAUAGCGAACAAGUACCGUGAGGGAAAGAUGAAAAGCACUUUGGAAAGAGAGUUAAACAGUACGUGAAAUUGCUGAAAGGGAAACGCUUGAAGUCAGUCACGUCUGCCAGGACUCAGCCUCGCUUCUGCUUGGUGCACUUUCUGGUUUGAUGGGCCAACAUCGAUUUCGACCGCUGGAGAAAGGCUUUGGGAACGUGGCACCUUCGGGUGUGUUAUAGCCCUUUGUCGUAUGCAACGGUUGGGAUCGAGGACCGCAGCACGCCUUCAUGGCCGGGGUUUUGCCCACGUACGUGCUUAGGAUGUUGGCAUAAUGGCUUUAAACGACCCGUCUUGAAACACGGACCA